rnacentral:tRNA from 1 species
GCCUGGGUGGCUCAGUGGUUGAGCAUCUGCCUUUGACUCAGGGUGUGAUCUUGGGGUCCUGGGUGGGAUCGAGUCCCGCAUCAGGCU